UUUAAAAAUGGUUUGCGUAAACCAUGUCAAACAGUAACAAUAUUAGAUACUGUGCAGACAUUGUCGAAUUAUACAGAAAUUCAAACCCCCCAGAAAUGGUAAAACUAUGACUGGACCGAUUGAGAAAUUGUUGUUGAAUUUAUCGUUGCAAUACACAAACACAUAUGUAUUUUACCAUAUACAACAGUUAUUUAACAGUUUCGCAAACAGUGGUACGCUGUUGUGUUUGUGAGCGAAAAUUUUCACCGCCUAGCUGUGCACGCUUAAAAAAUAGCACACUGAUCGUAGUAACAAUUCAAAAAACUGAUCGAAAUAUUUCCGUAUUUCAAAGUAUUUCUACUAAAAUAAUAUGAAACAACACAAUUGUUAUUUUGUUCUAAACAUUUUCGUUCGAUAUGGGUGGAAAUUUGAUGAAAAUAGAAAUAUAUUUUACUACCGUUCAAACCAUGAAGUUGCAUAGAAUUGUUUUAGAGUGCCUUUUGUUUUGUUUGUUGUGAAUUGAAAAAUGAAAAUUGUGCGGAAACAAGAAUCGUUAUUCUAGCACUUAAAAGCUUCUUCCCGUUGUUUGGAGGGUAACAUCCGAAUCCCAAGUGGCCUGUUUUACAUCCGGAAUUCAUUGAGUGGGUUGUUGCAGUAAUCCAAAAAUGGAACCAUCAAACCCGGAUGUCCCCGCACUGAGACAGCAAGAAAUUAGAACGGCAAAAGCGGUAAUGGAUAAACCGAAAAAGGAAUUACGUGUACGGCAACAUAUCGAAAAUAUCGAAACUUUCCAGUAUAUUAUGGUAAUGUAAAUAAAUAUGCAUAAAAAUUA